UUCCUACCCACUUUCAGUGCACAUUAAUUCCACGUUCUAUUCUCCCCUUCUUUCUCUCACAGACCUGGUUGCAAUCGAGAAGCGAGGCAAUCGGUGCCGGGGCGGAGACGCCGUGCGACGCUCCCGUCACUGGCGGCAUGGCUCCAUGGGAGGCGAUACAAGCAACCAAAUCGCCAGCACCUACGUGGGUCUAGAGCAGCGACCUCCCCUCGGCUGGAUCUCACCACGGUGAACCCCCUGUCACCAGCGACAUGAACCAGCGGCGGCGCUGCUGGAUCCCAACGACUACUGCUCCCCUUCCUCCAUGAUGGGGCAGCUCUUCGCUUCUGUUGGGGCCACACACCAUCACCUGCGAAGGCGCCAUGGUUGUGAUCUGCCUAGGCAACAACUUCCUCGACGGGUGCAUCUGCAUAGGAGCAGGAGCAGUAUCUCUCUCCAUGCAUAGUUUCUUCUUUAUGCCAUCUUCCAGCAGCCAAGCAUGCAGACGGAGAUGCCUGAAGAAUAAUAUGCAGCUCAUGCUAAUCCUCUCAUGUGGUGUUGAACGGAUAAAAAAUUAUCAUUUUGCUUCCACAUUGCAAGCCAGAUGCAUGCUAGCUAUAGUAGUAUUUUCUAUUAUUCAGAGUAGUAUAGUAUUCAUAUUCAAGUAGUAUUUUCACACUUUUUCAGUAGUUUCAUAAAUUAUAGUAGUAUUUUUUUUCUUACUCAAGUAGUAUUUUUCACAAUUUCGUAUUGUCAUAAUUUUGAGUAGUAUUUUUUAUAAUAUAGAGUAGUAUUUUUGAGUAGUAUUUUGAUAUACUACAAUUCUGAACCUUUUUAUUUCACGCAAGGAAGUUGUUAUUCUAUACAUGAGUAUCAAGCCUAGAAGUAAUUCUAAAUAUUCAGAGAAGUAAUGCACAUAUUAGAGUAGUCCUAUUGGAUCCAUUCCAUUGUUGUACUCUGACCAAGACUAAUUAUAAAUGUUUAAGGUAAUUCACAUCUUGCCAUGUUCACAAGUAAUUUUGAAUGUUUAAGGUAACUCACGGUUCUGGAUGGCGGUGCUGGCUUCAAUAAUUGUCCUGUCUACAGUAGGACUCACUGUUGAAAUUACUAUUUAUUCCUUUUACCUUGUCCAUUUCCUUCACGUGAUAUUCUCUGGAUAUAUUCGAGAAUAUAUUCGGUGCUUGAUGUCUGCGAUAUCAAUCAUUCGGGCGUGGAAGACUAUACACCGAAUAUAUUCUUGAAUAUAUCCAGAGAAUAUCACGUGAAAGAAGUGGACAAGGCAAAAGGAAUAAGUAGUAAUUUGAACAGUGAGUUCUACUGUAGCCAGGACAAUUAUUGAAGGCAGCACCACCGUCCAGCUGUCCAGGCAAUAGUAAAAGAGGAUAAUUGAAGACGCCGGCUGUCCAGGCGAUUCCUUAAGCCAGAAGACUCCUCCAUCUAUAAAAGGAGAAGCCAGACGCAGCACUCGACACGGCGCGCAGAACUGAAAGCCACCGAAGACAUCCGCCACUCCACUCCACUCCACUUAAUUAGUAGCCGUCUCACUCCCAUUGUAAUAUAGAAAUAAGGGAGAAGCUGUGAUCGUCAAUCAUCUAUAAGGUAAUCCUAAGGUUUGUACUAAGUGCUUGGGGUUUCCCGAAAGGGAAAGCCGUAUGUAAGUUUGCUCUGUGGAAAUGGAUUAAGCUUUCUUGUGAAUUUC